CGCCACUGUUGUUUGGUAAAAUCGAGUUUCAGUUCGUCUGACCACUUCAGGGUGUAACUAGGGGGGUUUGCGGGAACGUAUCCCUGAGUGUGGAGUGGAGAGAGGAGAGGAUUUUCUUUUUUGGCGAUAGUGUAGUGCAUAUUUGUUCAAACUCGGUAAGGGGUCUGUUACCUUUUGGAAGUAGUGUCUGAGUGUUAAUGAAAUGUUUCAUCUGAUUGUAGUAGAAAUACUGGUUCCCUGUGUGGGAUUUGGAGGAGGUAAGUUCUUGCAGGGAUUUUAGUUUGCCAUCGCUUAGUGCGUCCAUAAGUUUUAGGAACGGGCC